AAUGAACGUUGGCGGCGUGGAUUAGGCAUGCAAGUCGAGCGGCAGCAGGCCCGCAAGGGCGCUGGCGAGCGGCGAAAGGGAGAGUAACACGCGGGUACCUGCCCUCGGGACCGGGAUAGCUGCGGGAAACUGCAAUUAAUACCGGAUAAUGUCCCCGGACCAAAUGGUGUGAUUCCGCCUGAGGAGGGGCCCACGUCCUAUCAGCUAGUUGGUGAGGUAACGGCUCACCAAGGCUACGACGGGUACGGGGUGUGAGAGCAUGCCCCCGCUCACUGGGACUGAGACACUGCCCAGACACCUACGGGUGGCUGCAGUCGAGAAUCUUCCGCAAUGGGCGAAAGCCUGACGGAGCGACGCCGCGUGCGGGAUGAAGGCCUUCGGGUUGUAAACCGCUGUCAGAGGGGAACAAGUUCAUGGGGGUUCUCCCCUGUGUUUGAGGGAUCCUCAGAGGAAGCGCAGGCUAAGUCCGUGCCAGCCGCCGCCGUAA
rnacentral:rRNA from 1 species